GGGUUCAUAUUCUUUGAAAUAAAUUGAAAAGUUUUUUUUUUUUUUAAAAAAAAAAAAGCAGAAAAGGGUUAAAUAGAAUAUUUGUACAUUAUAUGUCAAGAAGUAAAGUUGUAGCCCAAUGGUUUUAUUUACCUCCCACCAAACACGAGAUUAUGGGUUCACAACCCAUAACUCACACUUUUUUUUUUUCCCUACUUCCUCAUUUCCUGCCUUCCUCAAUCCUUAAGACACUGAGACAGAACAUAAACUUCCGCAUUCCCCCAAAUUGUAAAACCCUAACCCUGUCCCUCCGUCCGCCACUCCACCAUUCCUUUGUCCCGCAGCCGACGCGUCACCAGCCAGCCAUCAGGUGCUCCGACACCGCAACACCGACAGUCCGACGGUCCGAUUUCGCUGAGUAGUAACUGGUGUCGUGCGUUGUGGACUCGUGGUGGUUGUUUCGGGGGUUUCUUUUAUGUCCUGCGGGAGAGUUACAAUUCCGGGAUUAGUAUCCUUGCGCCUGUACCUGCAAAACAACGGAGACUCCGAGUGGUGGGAGCUCCGCCUCCGACGGUCAAGUUAGUACUUGUAAGUGGAGCAAAAAGUGCGGAAAGUAAAGAGGGUGAUCUGGUUCCUCGAAUGGGAGGAGUGAUCGGGGAGUGCAAAUAAUGCCAAGUCUGGUCUAGCGAUUAGUAUGCACGUGUGUUUAGGCUUCUCUUGGUGAGAGUAAUUAAUUCUGAAUGUGUUAAAUGGAGGCUUAAUUACUGUAUUUAUAGCCUCGAAGUGCGUGCCCAUUACUAGGUUUUAGGUAAACCUAGGACUGAUUGGGCUUUGCCUCAGAAAUCGGGCCUUGGUGGCCGUUUUCCAGGUAGGCAUGUCAUGGGCCACGUGGCGUGGCAUGAUUGGUCCAUGUUGGACUGAUUAGGUCCAUGUGGGGGACACAUGGCAGAACCUGAUUGGUCCACGUGGCAGACUGUGAUUGGGCAGGGAAAAUCCCCUAAUCCUUUGCCCCUCACAGGUGGCACGUGACUGGUCACAUGUCACCUGUGACAGGUGUCGGCUUACAACAGGCGACGGCCUGCUACAGGUGUCGGCCUGUGAUAGGCCGAGAGUGGCCUAUUUUCAAAUUUGGAAGUGACCCUUCGCAUUCUCAUUUUACCCUAUAUAAGGGCCUUGACCGAAAGUCUUUUGUUCACACUUUUGCAAAUUUUCUGAAAGAGAACUCUCAGACCCCUAAACUUGAGCUCUGGUUUUCUGGACGAGUGAGUUUACCAACCGCCUGCUUCUUUUUAGACGCCUGUUCGACCAAGCUUUUCAGAACUUAAGUUUCAGGUAACUGUCUGUUCCUUUAUCCUUUCUCCUUCUUUUUUUUUCUUUUUUGAAAAUGAGGCCCCAAAAGCAUCCGACACGGCCUAGAUUAGCAAUCAGCCGGUCACCGGGGACGGCUGAGUCUAGGACUAGGGGUGCCGACUGCCCUGCAGUACUUCAAUCUUUGCGCAAGUCCCGGAAUCCAACUGUCUUUGUUUCUAUGUAGGACAGUAUGGCAAGAACCAAAAGAACAAAGAGGAUUGAAAACUCUGAUGGCUCUUCAUUCCGGAUCCAAAUUAGUGAGCUAUUGGACCAAACGCUGGUACCCCAGGUGACUCUGUCAUAAGGGGCUCUGAGGAGGGGGUUAAGCUGGCCCCUUCUAAUGCUUUUGUUGACUUAGCUGGUCAGCAGUCGGCCCCUUCUGAAGAAGAGGGGUCGGCCCCCUCAGGGAGAGGGGAGUCGGACUCUUCCGAUAGUGAGUCCGAAUCUAGCUCUUCAAGCCUUCUUUCUCCAAGUUCGGAAGAAAGGCAUUCUCGCUUACAUGAGGCGAGAUUAUCUCAUACAGUUGAAAAAGGGGUCGACUGGUCAGAACCAUCCGCCUCCCAUAGGGAGUUGAACACCCCUUAUUACUAUCACGUCCCAAAAGGUCGAAUCAAGGCCAUGAAGGAGCGAAUAAGGACUUUUCUAACGGACCACGUAAUGGGUCCGGAUUUUAAUUUAUUUGUGUCGGAUGCUGAAGAUACAGUCGUCUGGCCCGCGGGGUCUAGUUCAGGGGACGCCUGUUUUGGCUGCUAUGAGGCGGCCAUUAAGGUUGAACUCCAAUUUCCCCUGCAUCCGGCAGUGCAACAAAUCCUCAACGGGUAUGAGGUGGGGCUUUGGCAGUUAGCUCCAAAUUCUUGGUUCAACAUCCUUAGCUAUGUAGCCGGAUGUGAAAUGCAUGGGGUGGACCCCUAUUUCGAGGCGUUCACCCAUAUGAAUUAUUUAAGCUGGACCCCCAAAGCGAGCGGUACCGGCUGGUACCAAAUAACAAGCCACAAUGGAUAUUUGAUGACUAGGGGGGAAGGAAAAUAAGUGAAAAGAUUGUUUCUUCCUCGUCACCAGUCCUAAUAAACUUCUGAACAAGCGAUACAACAGGUGGAAUAGGGAUCCGCCUCUUCUUGCAGGCGGCCCUAGCAUGCAGCCUGUUCCUCGUCAAGCAAGGGAAGAGAUCCUUGACCGAGGACUCUUCAAAGUAGAGAUUAGGGCUAACUCUACUACCGGGGUACAAGAGCAGGUGCCUUUGAACUGCGUCCCCAAAUUUAAAUGGCUUUACGACGAGUACUUUUUAGCCGCCUGUGGCCUAAGCAGUCGGGCCCCCAGAGCCGAAGCUAUGGACCAUAUUUCCGCAUCCAAGAAGGCGGCCGCCCUUCUGCGGACCUCCAUUAUGAGCCUUAAGCGGCCAUCAUCUGAUUCUCCUGCCAAGGAGGCGCCCAAGGUGAGCUCGUCCAAACCCUCUUCUUUCAGUAGCCGGACUCAAAGGUUCGGAAACAGACAGCUGGGAGUACGCCUGGCUCCUCCAGGAAGCAGGCGGCUGAAAAACAGCCGCGCACCCCACAAAGUGGGGGAAAACAAGCGUAUGUCCCAAGGGACAGCCGACCUCCAAGAGGCGGCCAUCAAGAACCAGACUUGGUCAACAUGGCCAAGUCUAUGGUGAAAGCCAUCCCUCUAGAGGAGAGGGAUACGGUCAGGGGAGUCGGUACCCUUGACCUUGACAGAAUCAUGGGUCUCCUCUCCGAGACUAUGCUUCGUGUACACGGCCUCCAUAGGCCGAUUAGUGCCAAAAACGAAGAAAAGAGAGGCGUUGAGAGAAGAGGAGAGGAAAGUGAUUUUGCUAAAAAAUCUAACAAGGAAACCGCUACUUGAAGUAGCGGUUUAUAAUCAGUAUACCACUACUCCAAGUAGCGGUUUUUUUAUCUGUACACCGCUAUUUGAAGUAGCGGUUUCCUAAUAAAUCGUUUUUAAAAAUAAUUUCCACUGAACCGGUGAUGUGGACGGUAGAUUGGGAAUUAAAAAAAAAUUGGUUGUAUUUUGGGAUUAGAUAAUUUCCGAACAUUAGUCAGGGAAAGGACUCAUUUUUUUCACGAAUUGCAUUUUAUAAAAAAAAAAAAAAAAAAAAAAAAAAAACUAAAUUUUUUUCAAGAAUCACGGUUUCCUCUCUGUACUCCUUUGUAUCUAUUUCUCGCUGUACUCCUUCCUCUCUCUCUCCUCCAUUUAAGCGUACUCGAAAUUCUCCAUUGAAGGGGCUUUUGAGCUUUCUCUCCUCCAUUGAAGCAGUCUAUAAGGAAAAUUAGCUAGGACUAGGAGCUGUAUUCAGUGAUGGCCAGUGUUCUGUUUUCAGCAACAUUUCAUGGCUCAACUAUCCGAACCAACACAGAAGUUAAAAGGCGUGAUCAUAAUCUUGGCAGAGUUUGUUGUGUAAAGGCAAUGAGAGUAGAGAAGUCUUUGGAAGAACUUUAUCAGAUAAGGGUAGAAAGAAAAGUAUCUCCCAAGCGAUUAGAUGAGCUUGGUGUAUCAAGAUGGUCAGUAUGGAAGACUGGAAAAUGCAAAUUGCCCUGGGACUGGCAUGUGGAUCAGCUUGUCUAUAUCGAAGAGGGAGAGGUUAGAGUUGUUGCGGAAGGGAGCAAGCAAUAUAUGAGUUUUAAGGCUGGUGACCUUGUGCGCUAUCCCAAGUGGUUCGAGGCUGACCUGUGGUUCAAUGACUUUUACCAGGAGCGUUAUAGCUUUCGAGCUUAUGGUGAUGACUAGAUGUAAGAUUUGAUUUCAGUAAAGUUAGGAUAUUUAUUGCUAAUCAGAUGUAAGAAUUCUCUGUUUUGCGACAAUUUUGCAACUGCACGACCGCACACUACAUACUGUUCAAUUUCGCACUUCUAGCUGUUCUAAUUUCUAAUCCUCUAGGGAAUUAUGCUGUACAGAGUACAAUGGAAGGCUUUGUAGCUGUAACUGACUCAAGCUCCAUGACAACUAAUUCCAAACAGCUCGAGCUAAAAAGAGAAUGUGGAUUGUCUUCUUUUCGUUAUGCCACUUCUUUCAAUAUCUCCUCACGAUAUCUCCUAACGAGCCAUUGGAAAAUAUAUGAAUUGUGAUUUUUGACAAAUGAGUGUUAGAUAUUGAUUUUUUUCAAUUACGUUUAUUUGCUAAUGUGAUUAUUACAAUAAAGGCUUAUGUAUAAUCAAUGUUAUGUAUGUGUGAUAUUACAUGGAAGGUUAUCCUUUUGUUAGUUCUAUAGCCUUGAGCUUAGGAUUUAGAGAUACUCCUAAUUGAUUUAAUUCUCAAUUUUAUUGGAGUUUUAAAGCAGCAAUGUAUUGUUAUAUAUUAUGAAGGUCUUUGUUAUGCUCUUGCUUUUAGAAUAAAUUUUAUUAGCAAGUUGUUUCUUUUUAAUGUUAACAUGCUUUUAUGUCGUUGGAUAAUUCAUGGGUUGAUCUUUUUAAGGGUGUAUGUAUUUUUAUGUAUAACCAUGAAUUUUGUGUUAUGUUGAAUAUGAUAUUAAAAUCUAUUACUUUUUAGCGCAUAUAUGUUGAUAUAUAUGUCUUGCUUUGUGGAAACUUUAUUCAUGCUUAAAUUCUAAAUGCUUACAUUGCAUAUCUCCAUGUUUUAAGAACUUGUGUUACUUAUAUUAAUUUAGUAAGUGAGUGAAGUUUUUGAAUGAGGAAUAUGUAAUAUCGUUUAUGAAAAGUUAUAUGAUUUUCUCCAUAGGAGAAUUUUUUGAUAGUUGUUAAUCCUUGUGACUAUAGUUGUUACUCCUUGUGACUUUUAGUUGUGCUAUAUAACUCUUGUUAUUGGCUAAAACAUGAUUAUUAGUUUCUAUUUUAUUUUUUGAAAUUCUUUUGGUGGCUAUCAUUUUGAUUUUUUAGUGUGUUAACUACUAAGUUGUGUUAACCUUGUGGUGUAAUAUUUUUGAAUUAUUAUUUUUUCAUAAUUCAAAAGUGAGACUACUCCUAGUGCCCACCUUAAGAAAGAGGUUUCAAGUGUUGUAAAUAUAUUAUUUCAUGUUUUUGCACCUAAGUGUUCUUAUUUGAUUCAAUUUAUUUUAUUUAAUUUUGGAAUAUGUUUGAAGAUAUCAACAUCGGUUAGAUUUCUCCAUGUGAGUAAUACGGUGGUGUUGAGCAUCACAUGUACAUUUGUGGUAAAUAAUAUUCUUGAACUUUUUAUCUCUCAAUUUGUUAAGUAAUUAUUCCACGAAGUUGAUUAUGACAUGUUUUUAUUAUUGUGAGAAUAAUAAUAAUUAUUAUGAUUUUUUGAUUUUUUUAAAUUGUCAUACAUGCUUCGUGAUUGGGAUUGAAGAUUCUUGUGAUGAUAUGAUAUAUGUAGUUUAUGUCAUCAUUAGUCUGGGGAAUAUCACCAGUAGAAAAAAGUAAAUGGGAAGCCUCAAAUGGGGAGCGGUUAUUGAAUUCUACUUCUAAAAACACCAAAAAAAAAAACCUAAAACAAGCAAAUGGAGAGCGGUUUAGGGUGAACCGCUUCCGAAAUUGUAAUGGGAAGCGGUUUGAACAUUGAACCGCUCCCCAUUCUUUUAAAAAAAAACCCUAACAAUACAAACUACCCCUUAGCCCUCACGCCUCUUUUCUCCUCCUCUCUCCUUUCUCAGAAUUCUCUCUUCUCUCUCCUCUCUGCAUUUCUUACUCUCCUGUUCUCCUCUCUCAAGCCUCCCCUUAUUUUCUCUCUCCUCUCCUCUCUCAAGCUUAUCACCGCCAUUUUCGAGCAAAAAAAAAAACGAAUAAAAAACCCCUCAUUUUCAAGCAAAAAAACGAAUCAAAAACCCUAGAUUAUUUGAACCCAAACCCCCCAGUAAAAUCGAGCAAAUUUGAGCCAAAAUCGAGCAAAUCCGAGCAAAAAUCGAGUCAAUCUGAGCCAAGAUCGAGCAAAUCCGAGCAGGUGGUGGUGCGUGUGGGUGGUGGUAUUUGGUGGAUGGAUUUUUUUUUAAUAUUUGACCAUGGAGUUCAGCUUUUUAGAUGCGAGGUGGCGUCGGUUGCAGUGGUGGGCUGGUGGCGUCGGUUGUGGUGGACCUGGUGGUAGGCUGGUGGCGUCGAUUGCGGUGGUGGCGGAAUAGGGUGGUGGUGACUUUAGUUGUAUUUUUUUUUUGUGUUGAAUUAUAAUGUAAUAUUACAACUAAUUAUUAAUUGAAAUAUAUAUUUUUAUACAUAUGUUUUAUUUUUGUAUUGUGUAUCAAUUUCUGUGAAAAAGUAAAUUUUUUUUUUUUUUUCAAAAACCGCUUCCCAUUAAGGUUUUGAACUGCUUGUCAUUUACUUUUUUCUACCAGUGUAUUUUUGUAUUAGCAUGAAAUAUCUAUACUUUAAAGAGGUUUUAAAGCAAGUCUUGAGUUGUGUAUUGGCUAAUACAUUUAACAAUGUGAUAUGAAUUUGUGUUGGACUCAAAGUCUUGGGUUAUGUAUUCUUUAGUUAUGCCUUUUAGCAAUUAAUUGAAUUCAUGUUGUAUGACUUUGAAUUCGAACAUUGGAUUACCUUAUCCACUAUGACCCUUAUCCUUUACUAAAAUACAUUGUUUUUAGCAUGUUUGUGUAUUCUCGCCAUGGUUAAGUGACAAGUGAUUGGCUAUAUAUGCAUGUGAGAGUACUUAUAUCUCUUAAUUGCUUUAUUCCCUUCUUAUGUAUUCCUUUUGUUAAUGGUAAACAAUUUGACUAUAAAAGAAAUAAGAGACAUUAAUAUGAAAUUGACCAAUUAUGCUAAAGACGAUUGUUUGUUUGCCUUGAUUUGUUAUUUUGGUAUCUCUAUGUUUAUAGAGUAUUACCUUAUCUUAGUGAGUUGUUGUGAGUGAUUUUUUACUU